rnacentral:misc_RNA from 1 species
AAUCAGCACUCAUGACAACAGCUUCACCCAUGAGUGCUACGCUCAAUUCUCAGGCAGAGUUUGCAUAUGGCGCAGGCCAUGUGAACCCUCUUAAGGCAGUAGACCCAGGAUUGGUAUACGAUGCAAAUGAAAGCGACUACGUGAAAUUCUUGUGUGGUCAAGGUUACAACACCGCCAUGGUUCGACAUAUCACUGGCGACAAUAGUGCUUGCACUUCUGGCAACAUUGGAAGAGUGUGGGAUUUAAACUAUCCUUCUUUUGCACUUUCCACGGCAAGUCCGCAAACCACAGUCAAUCAAUAUUUCACAAGAACUCUAACAAACGUCGCACCGGGAGGAUAUACAUAUAGAGCAAGGAUUUUCGCCCCACAAGGCCUUCGUAUCACCGCGAAUCCUCCUAUGCUAUCAUUCAAUGGUAUUGGAGAUAGAAAAUCAUUCACGUUGAUAGUUCGAGGAACAGUGAACCGAAAAUCCAUAGUCUCUGCUUCUUUAGUUUGGAGUGACGGUGUACAUUCGGUCAGAAGCCCUAUAACAAUCGUUGUUCUCACUAAAAGUAUAACUUAAUUUUUCUUUUGAAAUAAUAAAGAUGAAUAAAGAAAUGAAAGUGUGUAGGAAGUAUAUAGAAUCUCUUUGCUUCCUUCCCGCUCUUUCAUUUGUUUGUCCGUUGCUUUCUAGUUAAGGGGGUGUCUGCUUGAAUAAGAUUGUGUGUGUACUGUCUUAAUAAUCAAUACUAUAUAUAUGAAUGAGGUUGCAUGGG